rnacentral:rRNA from 1 species
AGCUAACACAUGCAAGUCGAACGGUAGCACAAGAGGAGCUUGCUCCUUGGGUGACGAGUGGCGGACGGGUGAGUAAUGUCUGGGGAUCUGCCCGAUGGAGGGGGAUAACUACUGGAAACGGUAGCUAAUACCGCAUAACGUCGCAAGACCAAAGUGGGGGACCUUCGGGCCUCACACCAUCGGAUGAACCCAGAUGGGAUUAGCUAGUAGGUGGGGUAACGGCUCACCUAGGCGACGAUCCCUAGCUGGUCUGAGAGGAUGACCAGCCACACUGGAACUGAGACACGGUCCAGACUCCUACGGGAGGCAGCAGUGGGGAAUAUUGCACAAUGGGCGCAAGCCUGAUGCAGCCAUGCCGCGUGUAUGAAGAAGGCCUUCGGGUUGUAAAGUACUUUCAGCGGGGAGGAAGGCGAUAAGGUUAAUAACCUUGUCGAUUGACGUUACCCGCAGAAGAAGCACCGGCUAACUCCGUGCCAGCAGCCGCGGUAAUACGGAGGGUGCAAGCGUUAAUCGGAAUUACUGGGCGUAAAGCGCACGCAGGCGGUCUGUCAAGUCGGAUGUGAAAUCCCCGGGCUUAACCUGGGAACUGCAUUCGAAACUGGCAGGCUAGAGUCUUGUAGAGGGGGGUAGAAUUCCAGGUGUAGCGGUGAAAUGCGUAGAGAUCUGGAGGAAUACCGGUGGCGAAGGCGGCCCCCUGGACAGAGACUGACGCUCAGGUGCGAAAGCGUGGGGAGCAAACAGGAUUAGAUACCCUGGUAGUCCACGCUGUAAACGAUGUCGACUUGGAGGUUGUGCCCUUGAGGCGUGGCUUCCGGAGCUAACGCGUUAAGUCGACCGCCUGGGGAGUACGGCCGCAAGGUUAAAACUCAAAUGAAUUGACGGGGGCCCGCACAAGCGGUGGAGCAUGUGGUUUAAUUCGAUGCAACGCGAAGAACCUUACCUGGCCUUGACAUCCAGAGAACUUAGCAGAGAUGCUUUGGUGCCUUCGGGAACUCUGAGACAGGUGCUGCAUGGCUGUCGUCAGCUCGUGUUGUGAAAUGUUGGGUUAAGUCCCGCAACGAGCGCAACCCUUAUCCUUUGUUGCCAGCGAUUCGGUCGGGAACUCAAAGGAGACUGCCGGUGAUAAACCGGAGGAAGGUGGGGAUGACGUCAAGUCAUCAUGGCCCUUACGGCCAGGGCUACACACGUGCUACAAUGGCGCAUACAAAGAGAAGCGACCUCGCGAGAGCAAGCGGACCUCAUAAAGUGCGUCGUAGUCCGGAUUGGAGUCUGCAACUCGACUCCAUGAAGUCGGAAUCGCUAGUAAUCGUAGAUCAGAAUGCUACGGUGAAUACGUUCCCGGGCCUUGUACACACCGCCCGUCACACCAUGGGAGUGGGUUGCAAAAGAAGUAGGUAGCUUAACCUUCGGGAGGGCGCUUACCACUUUGUGAUUCAUGACUGGGGUGAAGUCGUAACAAGAGCUUA